rnacentral:rRNA from 1 species
CCAAUAGCGUAUAUUAAGGUUGCUGCGGUUAAAAAGCUCGUAGUUGAAUUUCGGGAUUGACACAUCGGUCGUGCCUUAAGGGGUAUGAACUGGCGUAGCCAAUUCCUCACCUUCUGGUGAAUUGUAAUGCCUCUUUAACUGGGUGUUUCAAUGAACUAGGACUUUUACUUUGAAAAAAUUAGAGUGUUUAAAGCAGGCAUUUUGCUUGAAUACAUUAGCAUGGAAUAAUAAAAUAGGACGGCAUGAUUCUAUUUUGUUGGUUUCUAGGAUCACCGUAAUGAUUAAUAGGGAUAGUUGGGGGCAUUAGUAUUCAAUUGUCAGAGGUGAAAUUCUUGGAUUUAUUGAAGACUAACUACUGCGAAAGCAUUUGCCAAGGAUGUUUUCAUUAAUCAAGAACGAAAGUUAGGGGAUCGAAGACGAUCAGAUACCGUCGUAGUCUUAACCAUAAACUAUGUCGACUAGGAAUCAGACGAUGUUAAUUUUUUAAUGACUCGUUUGGCACCUUACG